GAUGAAGAACGCAGCGAAAUGCGAUAAAUAAUGUGAAUUGCAGAAUUCAGUGAAUCAUCGAAUCUUUGAACGCACAUUGCGCCCCCUGGUAUUCCGGGGGGCAUGCCUGUCCGAGCGUCAUUACAACCCUCAAGCUCAGCUUGGUGUUGGGCCCCGCCGCCCCGGCGGGCCCUAAAGUCAGUGGCGGUGCCGUCCGGCUCCGAGCGUAGUAAUUCUUCUCGCUCUGGAGGUCCGGUCGUGUGCUCGCCAGCAACCCCCAAUUUUUUUCAGGUUGACCUCGGAUCAGGUAGGGAUACCCGCUGAACUUAAGCAUAUCAAUAAGCGGAGGA
rnacentral:misc_RNA from 1 species